AUAUUAAAUGCUUCUAUCUUAAUAACCUCGUGUAUAUAUAUUAACUCAUUAAUCUGAAGAUGUCUUAAGUUAAAGACGAAACGUAAUUAAUAAAUCCUUCUCUAUUUUA